rnacentral:lncRNA from 1 species
CACAGUGUGAAGGAAGGGCUUUAGAUAGGAGCAGGGACACUUCGUGCUCUGUGGCAAGAGCGACUGCAGAUUAUAUGGGUAUAAAAGGAGAUUGAUUGCUGUAUCUGGUGAGAAAAGAAGGCAGUUUUCUUCGAUAGCAUCUGUUUUCUCUUCACAACAAAACACUUCAAACUGCAUAUGACUAAAGUCAUCGUUGAUCCCAUCCUUCCUUCACAGCCUGCACCCAACCCUUCACGUCCUGUUGAUUCUCUAUCCGAAAUAUAUAUAUCUAUGUAUCUUUUUACUUUUUUAAUUUUUUUGAGACAGGGUCUUGCUCUGUUGCCCAGGCUGGAGAGCAGUGGUGUGAUCGUGGUUCACUGCAGCCUCAAAAAUGAUAUUUCUGAGACUAUGAAAGAUCUUCAAUCACCAGAGAAAGAUUCAAUUAUGUUCACUGUACCGUACUUAAUUUCAAAAAAGCAGAUCAACAUAACUUAGACAAGUUUUCAACAAUGAAAUAGAAAAUAAAAGGAUUUUUUAAAUUAACAUGAAAUUCAAUUUGCUAAGUUAAUACCAGCUGAGACUUAACUAUAUUAAUUACAACAUUCUGCAAAUGUGAAGACUAACAUAUUUGUAAAAGUGAUCCUAAAUCUUCAUUUUACAUUGCUCUUUUUUUCAGAAGCCCUAGAAACCUUUUCCCCAUGCCAACUAUUCCUAACUCACUGUUUUUCUAUAGAUCUACUGC